ACACACACACACACUGAUCUCACGUCAGUCAUUUAAAAGUGCUGAUAACACAAUGCCUUUAAUGACCAACAAUCCUCAGAAGCCAUUUCUGCACAUAUAUCCUUUAUCUGUUAAUGACUGAAUGUAUCACGCCUGAAUUUCAUUACUCAGGGAAAAACGCCCAAGCAGAGAGAGAGGGCUGAUGGGAAGCGUUUCUCCAGUACUCUGACAGGACGCCGAGGACAAUCUCCACCGCGAGUCUUUCUUCUCAGGCGAAUCUCAUGCCAAUGUCACAUCAGGAAAUCUAGGUGCUAGGUGGUUGCUAGAGUAUUUUGACUGGUUUCUAAGGCAUCGCUAGGCAGUUGCUUUGGUGUUCUGACAUUGAUAGGUGGUUGCUAUUGUGUUUUGUCUGGUUUCUAAGGCAUCGCUAGGCAGUUGCUGUGGUGUUCUGACAUUGAUAGGUGGUUGCUAGAGUGUUUUGUCUGGUUUCUAAGGCAUCGCUAGGCAGUUGCUGUGGUGUUCUGGCAUUGCUAGGUGGUUGCUAGAGUGUUUUGUCUGGUUUCUAAGGCAUCGCUAGGCAGUUGCUUUGGUGUUCUGACAUUGCUAGGUGGUUGCUAUUGUGUUUUAGCUGGUUUCUAAGGCGUCGCUAGGCAGUUGCUUUGGUGUUCUGACAUUGCUAGGUGGUUGUUAUUGUGUUUUGUUUGGUUUCCAAGGCAUUGCUAUGCAAUUGCUCUGGUCUUCUGAAAUUGCUGGAGUGUUUUGGCUGGUUUCUAAGGCGUUGCUAGGUGGUUAUUUGGUGUUUUGACAUUGCUAGUUGGUUGCUAUGGUGUUUUGUCUCAUUUCUAAGGCGUUGCUAGGCAGUUGCUUUGGUGUUCUGACAUU
ensembl:lncRNA